AUUGAACGCUGGCGGCAGGCCUAACACAUGCAAGUCGAACGGUAACAGGAAGCAGCUUGCUGCUUCGCUGACGAGUGGCGGACGGGUGAGUAAUGUCUGGGAAACUGCCUGAUGGAGGGGGAUAACUACUGGAAACGGUAGCUAAUACCGCAUAACGUCGCAAGACCAAAGAGGGGGACCUUAGGGCCUCUUGCCAUCGGAUGUGCCCAGAUGGGAUUAGCUAGUAGGUGGGGUAACGGCUCACCUAGGCGACGAUCCCUAGCUGGUCUGAGAGGAUGACCAGCCACACUGGAACUGAGACACGGUCCAGACUCCUACGGGAGGCAGCAGUGGGGAAUAUUGCACAAUGGGCGCAAGCCUGAUGCAGCCAUGCCGCGUGUAUGAAGAAGGCCUUCGGGUUGUAAAGUACUUUCAGCGGGGAGGAAGGGAGUAAAGUUAAUACCUUUGCUCAUUAACGUUACCCGCAGAAGAAGCGCCGGCUAACUCCGUG
rnacentral:rRNA from 1 species